UACGGAGGGGGCUAGCGUUGUUCGGAAUUACUGGGCGUAAAGCGCACGUAGGCGGCUUUGCAAGUCAGAGGUGAAAGCCCGGGGCUCAACCCCGGAAUAGCCUUUGAGACUGCAUCGCUAGAAUUGUGGAGAGGUAAGUGGAAUUCCGAGUGUAGAGGUGAAAUUCGUAUAUAUUCGGAAGAACACCAGUGGCGAAGGCGACUUACUGGACACAUAUUGACGCUGAGGUGCGAAAGCGUGGGGAGCAAACAGG
rnacentral:rRNA from 1 species